AGAGUUUGAUCCUGGCUCAGAAUCAACGCUGGCGGCGUGCCUAACACAUGCAAGUCGAACGCGAAAGUGGAGCAAUCCAUGAGUAGAGUGGCGAACGGGUGAGUAACACGUGGGUGACCUACCUUCGAAUGGGGGAUAACGUCCCGAAAGGGACGCUAAUACCGCAUAACAUCCUGCUUUUGAACAGGUGGAGAUCAAAGCCGGGGAUCGCAAGACCUGGCGUUUGAAGAGGGGCCCGCGUCUGAUUAGCUAGUUGGUGAGGUAACGGCCCACCAAGGCGACGAUCAGUAUCCGGCCUGAGAGGGCGGACGGACACACUGGGACUGAGACACGGCCCAGACUCCUACGGGAGGCAGCAGUGGGGAAUUGUUCGCAAUGGGCGCAAGCCUGACGACGCACGCCGCGUGGAGGAUGAAGGUCUUCGGAUUGUAAACUCCUGUUGCCCGGGACGAAACGUUUCGACCUAACACGUCGAGACCUGACGGUACCGGGUGAGGAAGCCCCGGCUAACUCUGUGCCAGCAGCCGCGGUAAUACAGAGGGGGCAAGCGUCGUUCGGAAUUACUGGGCGUAAAGGGCGCGUAGGCGGCCUUCUAAGUCGAACGUGAAAUCCCCGGGCUCAACCCGGGAACUGCGUCCGAUACUGGAAGGCUUGAAUCCGGGAGAGGGAUGCGGAAUUCCAGGUGUAGCGGUGAAAUGCGUAGAUAUCUGGAGGAACACCGGUGGCGAAGGCGGCAUCCUGGACCGGCAUUGACGCUGAGGCGCGAAAGCCAGGGGAGCAAACGGGAUUAGAUACCCCGGUAGUCCUGGCCCUAAACGAUGAUAACUAACUGUCCGGGCUCAUAGAGCUUGGGUGGCGCAGCUACGCAUUAAGUUAUCCGCCUGGGGAGUACGGUCGCAAGAUUAAAACUCAAAGGA
rnacentral:rRNA from 1 species